AAAUGACUGUCUUUUUAUUUUAUUCUUUCAGAGUGUAAAAAGAGCAACUGAACCAGCAACAGGCUACAUUAUUUUAGUCACUGUUCUUGGUCUACUGGAAGUACAUCACCUACCAGAGGUGCUAGGUCAAGGGAGCAGAAAGGCUUAAGCUUCCAGGCUCUUAACCAAGUCUGGAAAUAGGAGUGUCAUCUCACCUAACACGGACCUUCAGCAACCAGCUUUCAGGACUAAAUCCAUAUCUUAUCCAUCAGUGAUAUGUGAAGUGUUGGAAGCAUCUGUGUGUUUCCCUUGAGGGAAGUCUACUGUGAUGCAACAGAACUGAAUACAGGUUGUAUCCAUGACAGACUGAAAUGAAAAACGUCAUCUGGAGAAAUUAGCAAAUAUGCUUUACCUCUGAAAUAUCACUAGGCUUUAAAGAAAAGUUUAAAUAUGAAGAGUGAAUAAUUUUGCUUUCAGUCCGCAAGUGCCUUUAAUUAAAAGAAGAGUGGAAGGAAGGAGAAAAACAUACAGGAAAAUACAGCAUAAGGAGUCAUUUUCUCACUCUCCACUGCCUUGACAAGAAUAAAAGACUGCUCUGUGUGCAGUCCUGUAGUCUGAGCCACUCCUUUCACAUCCUAGAGCUCUAUAGAACCAAAGGGGAUGAAUAAAGUGGGGAACUGAGCUGUCAUUUUCUUGUUCCAGGUCUGCUGACAUCUGACAGCAGCUACACAGGCAUCACUAAUCAUUUAGGUCAAUGUUUUGAAGUUGAUUACUAUGGAAAAAGGACUUCCACUGCACUGAGAUUCUCCAUUUCAUCAGCUGUUUUCCAUGUUGAAGAAAUAAAUCUGGAAUGUCAGUUUGAAUGGACUGUCUCUGCUUGUAACCGCAUGGAAACCAGCCAAGAAGAAUUGUUUCUUACAGCUAUCUUCCUCAGUAGCUUCCAGCUUCUUCCAGCUUUGCUCUGUCACUCAGCUGUGAAUCCAGCACCUGGAUCUCUGUGA
rnacentral:lncRNA from 1 species